CUACUCGUUCCACGUGCCGCUCGGUACUUCCUUGCCCCGUGCCCCGUGCCCCGUGCCCCGUGUCCCGCGUCCCGUGCCCCGUUCCUCGUGCUCCUUGCUCUGCACCCUGUCUCGCGCACCACGUACCCCUGUAUCCCGGCCCCUCCGCUUCGCGCAAUACCACCUCCAACCCUUUUAGUUCCACCACAACGCGUCGAGGUGAAUCGCGCAACUCGCAACUUGCAACUCGCAACUCGCAAAUGCGUUUCAUCUUUGUCCCGUGUAUACGUCGAUUCGUAUUAUCGUCGACGGUCUCUUAAACCGGUUUUACUUAUUACGCGAGCGUCCGCUUAUCUCGCGUAGAUCUCUUAUUACCAGUCACGGUAAGCGAACGUUUCUCUGUUCCCGCGAUCUGUUUCUCCGGAGUUCCUACCUUCUAAUUCUUUUUUCGCUCUUUUUUUCUCUUUCUCCUUUCGAGGUGCUCGGCUGUUCUCCGUUCGAAUAUUCCACGCGGAAAUAGAACGAGUCCAAUGGAUAAAUUUUAUUCGAAGGAAAAUAGAGGGAACGACAAAUGAGGAGAAGAAGCAACGACGGUGAGGGCGUAGGGAAAGAUAAGAGAAGGAAAUGCGGAACGAAAACCGGGUAAAAGGAGAAGAAAGAAAGAGAGAAGCGUGCGAUAGAAGAAACGAAUAAUGGCGAGGGAAGAGGAGAUCGUGCACCAUAACCACGUGACCUUUUGACCGCAGGAAAUUCUUCGGAUAAACGGGCUUUUCACUGUACACAGCCAAGAAGGGAGCAACAAGUGUGAAUCUUGUCUACCCUGUGGAUCGGACGGUUCUUAGCUUUUCUCUCUGCUUUUCUACAUCUUUCUCUCCUCUUUCUCCUUUUUCCCUUCCCCCUUCUACUUAUCUAUCUACAUCCCCUCCACCAUUAUGCGCGCGCACACUCUUAACGAUGCACACGUUGUGACUUUGAUGACCUAUUCUUCGGUCCGAAUCGCAACGGAUCGAGCGUCAAUCGGGUACAAAAUUUUCAUGUCCCGACGAUCUUUCGCGUCCCGUUUUUCAUCGGAAGAGUAGAAAAGCGUUAAACGCGCAAAGUCGAACGAAACGUGUAACGAGAUUAGUUUCGACGCUGUCGGCAACCGUAUAGGAAAUUUGUGCCGCAGAUUCGAAAAUCGCGAUUUGAAAAGCCCGAUUCGUACCACGUAAGAAGCACGCAAGACGCGUAGAGCCCCGAACGUCGUCACUACAAACACGAUACGAUACUCUGAAAUGCUUAUUCACCGCUACGGAAUGAAUAAUGGAUUGCUAGCAAAAUACAUCGAGACAUAAAUAUUGUAUCUGGAGCGCUAUAUAUUACCUGUAUCGAAUACAUUAUCUAGAUCGUUCUCCGUUCUCUGUUCUGCUAGUUCCUAUCUGAUCGAGAUCGUUGCCAUGGGAAUGCACAUUCGCGACUCGAUCCGAUCGUUUCGUAUCGCGUCGGACUGUUCCAGUCUCUUCCAACUAGACACUGGUACUUUCUGAUUUUUCGAAACGAGCGUUUCUUUCGCUUUUCGAAACAUCGCUAGUACCAGCGGACCACCCAGUCACGAUAGUCACGACGACGCAUCGUAAGGUGUUCGAAAGCUCGUACGCUUGUCUUUUUCGCGUGGCUAUUGUCCGUUCGAUCGUCUGUACGUCGUCGCUACUUCCAGUGGCAUCCAGCGAUCUCGUUUCGAUCUCUUACGCACGUAAAUAAAAUUCUUUUUCGAUUGUGCUCGAUCGGUGAAAGAUAAAGUACGAUGGAGCGGGCAGAAAUGGGGACGAGAGAAAGAGAGAGAGAGGGAAGGAGGGAGAGACUAAAAGCCUAGCCAAGAUUCGGGCUGCGCGCGCGCGAGUAAACGUAAUCAUUUGCAAUCCCGCGUAGAACCGCUUUGAAACUCUACGAAGGAAUUUAUUAAAGUUUGACUAAGUCGCUUUACAAAGUUUCAUCGGUGCACCGAGGCACCGAAGAGUACCAAGAGGUGUACCGGCGGCGGUGCGAGAGCGGGGAUUGCGAGGUGCUCGGCGAGGAGAUCGGGUACCGCGCGGCAGCCGAGGGGCCAGCCACGACAAGGAAACGGAGGGGAAUCCUCUCGAAGAAGCGGGACGAAUUGCCGAAAGAGACGAAGGCGAAGGUUCGAGAGGCGGGAGGAGCGGUUGAAAUGGAUGAGAAAGGGCUGCUGGUGGAGAUGGUGGUGCUGGUGGCGGCGGUAGUGGUGGUAGUGGUGGCGGUGGUGGUGGUGGUGGUGGCGGCGACGACGGCGGUGGUGGUGGUGGUGGCGAUGGUGGUGGGGGGUGGUGGUGGCAGCGACGAUGGUGGAGGAAAACCCGGCAGGAGAAUGAGGAGGAGGAAGAGAUGGCGGUGGUGGAGGUGUAGGAGGUGGAGGUGGAGAAGGUGGAGGAGGCAGCAGCGAACGCAAAACGACGAUGGGAUGUGAACGAGGUGAAGCGGCAGAGGGAUGAGAGGAAUGGUGGAACGAACAGACGGAGGACGAGGGAGGCGAUGGGUGGUCGUCUUAGGCGGGGACGGAGGGGAAAUACAGGAGGGGGUAAAGUUACUUUCCCGGAGAAAUAAAAGUUAAUGGAGUUCCCUACCCCCCUCGUCCCACUACCUCCACCGCCUUUUUCUUCUUUUCCAUCUCCUUGCCGGCGUACAACUUUCACGAAAGUUAUUAUAUCUUAAUUUACUAUUGAACAUUAUCUGAAAUUUCUCCAACGUUUCCGUUUUAAUGCGCUGGAGAAUACGAACGAAGAAUAUGCGCGUAGCACAGUCCGACCAUACCAGAGACGAAAUAACGUCGAUACACCUUUCAUCGCUAACAAAAGGAAACGAAACGAAAAAUAGGGAGGAUAGCGCGAGGAAAAACGUGCCUCGUUCGUACGUUUCGCCGUGGUUAUGACUACGCGAGAUAAUACGUGCUCUUUUCUCCCGAUGAUCGGUAACUCGCGCGUUUCAUAAUUCUCGUGGUAAGAGAUACAUACUUUGCGAAACGUCGACUAUCAACACUUUACCGAGUCUUUACAUUCCUGACGUUUGCUUUGCUUCUACGCGAUGUAACUUUGACCGUUAUGCAAACAUUAUAUCCUCGUUUAUCGGAUAUUCGUUUGGCGAUGUAGUCCUGGUGUCAACGACCUUGUAUGUACAAUCACUACCAACGUACUCUCGACUCUCGAUGUCUUGUCCACGAUGGAAACGAACGAAUUGACUUAUUUUACCAAGCUUUACCGGGACAGCCUGGUUUCUGCUAUACCUAACGUUAACUCCCCCCUUUGCUCUUUUCCUCCUUCCCUUUUUCUCCGGUGCUCGCUCUUUUUUUUCUCUCUUCCAUUCCCGUUCCCAUUCUUGUUCCUAUUCCCCAUUCCUAUUUCCGUUCUCUUCCCUUCCUUUCCCAGCAUUUCGUCUUCCAGGCCACCCCUUCCCCCGCUUUGAUUUACGACCAUAAGUUGUAAUAUUUGCGCCACUAUUGUAUGGUAAUACGCACAGCAAAAAAUAUGUUAAUGGUUGCCAUAAAGAAGAUAUACAGCACGUACAUAUACAUACAUAUGUAUCCCAUUUCGCGGCAUGUACUCGCCGUACAUAUAGAAACUCCACUCUCGACAUCCCAUCUCUUUCAUUUUCCUCCAAAUGGUAUCCUCCGCUUUCUUCUCUUUCUUUUAUCGUAUCUUUCUCUCCUUGUUUAACCCCCUCCCCUCCGUUUCUAUACUUUCUUUACUUUUCCCUUUCUUACCUUUCCUGUUUUCAAACGGUAUUUCGAACGGUAUCGCUUUCGUCGAUUUAACUAACGAAAGUACGAGCGUACGAAGAUGGCUAAAAUAUAGUACUAUAUUUCUUCUUGCUUUUAAAUCGUUCGUUGGUCGAUGCGUAGUUACGACCGGUGAUAUACCCCAACGGUAACGAUAAAACGAUGUCGAUAUCGAACUAAAAUAAUCGGCGGCGUUUAUUUUUCGAACAUCGAGCGAAACUUUCUCGAAUAUCAUAGUACGUAAAAUAUAUGUGGAUGUAUCGUACACGUAGAUCGUGUUUCUCCGCUACGUAGACGUAAACUAGCACUGCUUUGUUCUUGCAUCAUCGAUCGAGCAAUAUCGAACGAUCGAUUGAAAUUUAUCGAUCGGUAUUCGGACGCUGAGAUCGUGUCGUUUCGCCUUCGUAAUCCCUUUUUCGCUACCACGGUUGCUGUUGCUGCUGCUUCUACCGCUGCUGCCACUGCCGCUGCGCUUCUCUCUUCCAUAACUCGAACAAUUCCAAUAGUCGUUAAUCUGUCGGAAACUUUCGGAAAACUUGCCGUUAUUGCAGGUACAGAGGCGAGCAGUCCAUGCAAGUAGGAUAAGCGGAGAAGCGCAAGGAGAAGGAGAAUGGUAGAGAGGAAUUGGGGUAAGAUGAGAUGAGAUGAGAUGAGAUGAGAUGAGACGAGAUGGGAUGAGAUGAGACGAGAUAAGAUAAAACGAGAUGAGAGGAGACGAGACGAGACGAGUCGAGACGAGACGAAAUGAGAUGAGAUGAGAUGAGAUGAGAAGAGAGAGAAGAUAAAAGAGAGUAGAGAAGAGGAGAAAGAUGGUUGAGUAGGCGAAGAAGAAGCCUAUUUGAUGGGAGGUGGAAGGGUUCGGAGAAAGGAGUUCGCAGGGCAGAUUCCACGCAGAGAUGCGACUCUAGAAGAGUCGAGGGAGAAUGGGGAUGGGAACCGGUGUGCCGAGGUAAGUUAAAUAAACUUGUUUAGUUUCGCGGAAACUUCUGCCUGGCCAUUGUAUUCGACUGCCUCGCUGCCGAGUUUGCUCUGAAACUUUCGAAUACGAACGAACUCGGUUCUCCGUUACGCUUUAUUCGCUUGCUUUACCAACUUGCUACCUACCGUUAGUUACUUUUCUCUCCCUUUCUUUCUUUCCUUCCUUCCUUCUUUCUUUCCUUCUCUUCCUCCUUUUCUCAAGAUUUCAAUGGUUUCUAUACAGGCAUAUAGGCAUAGGCCGUAUAAGUGUACCUCGUUGCUCUAUUUUUUCGUCAUCGCCGUCUCGGCGCUGCGACGCGACCGCGGCGCGCUGUCUCGAUAUCCCAUCAUUGCGAACGUUGCCCCCGUACCAUCUUCGCCUUGACCGUUCUUUGUUGUUCGCGUCGCCGCGUUUACGAAAAACAGACCGAAAGAUUUCUCUCUGUCGUUCGCCGUAUCGGCCAGAGAUUAGGCAGAAGAGGGAAUCCGAUCGGAAACAAAAUCGGGCAAAGUGCCCCGUCGCUAGUGUGGCAGCAGACCGAAUGGCUUAUUGAUUUAACGAGAGAGAGAAAGAGGCGAAAGAGAAACAGGAGGAAAGCAAGCACGGGGAAGAACGGGGGAGGCACAGGGGAGCACGGGGAAACACGGCUCGAGGUGGCUGGGGGGUCGCGAGCGGCAGCCUGGGGGAGGUUUGUGGGUGGCUAGGCUGAGACUAGGGAGAGGGUACGGGUACAGGAGAUGGGUAACGCGGAAUAGGCUAGGCGAAGGUGGGGAAGAGGAAGGCUCGCGGGUUCGCUGGCUCGCGAGCUCGGCAACGGAGAAAAGAGUAGGGUGAAGCGCAGGGUGAACCAGGGUGAAUCAAGGUAAGGUAGGGUAAGAUAGGGUCGGGGGCCGAAGAAUAAGGGAUACGGUUGCCAGUGUGCGGUGAUGAAAAGGGCAGAAGUAAAGACCAGAACGAAGCAACGGCAUAGAGAGGAUGGUUGGAAGCGAAACCGAAAUCGUCGAGAAACAAUCCGCGACUGGAUAAAAAGCUAAUAACUUGUUUUACCUUUCCGAUCCGAUGCUCUUUCAAAUAUUUUCUCACCUAGGUAUCAUCCGUAUCAUCCGUAUCACUUCCGACACGUGUGCCGACUAGCGCGUAGGUAAAUGCACCGGCUGCGUAUAAUACGUACAGCGAUAAUACGUAUCCGAUUUGUGAUUUUCAACUUGUUUGCCUUUUCGCGAUAAACUCGUAUAGAUACAACGUACUCGUACAAUAGCGAGUCACCGAUUCCACUUUGUUCGAAUACGUAGAAUUCGUUGUGUUUGCAAUUUUCGAAUCUCGUUCGAUUAUCCUUCUUAUUUUAAUCACGACGAUUCCUCUUUUCUUUCUCCUUUUCAUACCUUCGAUAUCACGAUCUUCGUCUCCCUUUCGGUUUUUCGUAACUAUAGUUUCGCUAUUUUUCUUGUUAAAUCGAAGAAUCGACUGCACAGAGCCUCGCUGGAAUAUCGUAAUAGCGACCGUUUCGUUGAACGACGUUCGAGUAGUAUCGAGGUGGCCGAAUGGUCAUUGGCCGAUCAACAAGUGGCUCAUGAUUUUGUCAGUGGCUCUGCAAGCGACUAACCCCGCUGGCCGGCCUGUUGUCCGACCGUCCGGCUGGCCGACUGUCUGCGUCCGGUUACCCGAUGCGGUCUACCGCUAAAACACUCGUGGCAUUCUCCGACCCAUCUAACUCGUCAUCCAUUAUACUCCUUCCAACCCAUCCUGUUUCGGGAAACCUUGAUCGGUCGAUGUAAUACCAAAAUAUCUGCCCGAUCCAAUCCAAUCAAGUUUUCCUCCUUUCGUCGUAUGUUCGACGAGUACGUAUGGCUUCCGGUCGGAAGCCUACGCUCAUCCGCGAUCAGUUUGCCUCUAGACAACGGCCGAUCGACAACGGAAAACAACCUAACUUCCUAACGAGUAUACGAAGCGUUUCGUACAAUUUCUCGGUUUCCAUAAUCGCUUGUGAUGUCGUUGCCGUCGUCGUUACCGUUGCGAAUAUCGAGGUAUCGAUGCUUAUCGGUCGCGUCUGUUUUGCAAAGCAUCGUGUGCGACACACUUUCUCUAUGAAACAACUUGACUACGAGCGAAAGAGAAAGCAAGUUUACCAGUAGCGGUCACUUUUCUACUACGCUUAAUUCCUCGGUUCGGCUACGAAAUUAGCUUGUACGGUCGUUGUAAUCGUACUCAAAUCGUUUUGAACAUUUUGUACGAAUGGUUGGAAAUAAGCGAGAGACAAGUAUACGGGCAAAGGACGGGCGCGCGCGCGCGCGCGCGCGUGUGUGUCUAUGCGUGCAUGCAUGCGUGCGUUGGGAACGAGCAAGAAAGAAGCUUGACGGAAGAGACAAAGGAUAGAGAUCGCGAAGAAAUCGAAGGACAGAAGACGAGGCAAAUGUAUUUUAUUUUCAUCGAGCGGCAGUAACAGCAGCAAACUCUUAAUCAAACGAGUCGCGAUAAGUAAAUUCGAUUACCGACGUUCGUUAGAACGAAUUUACUUUGCGCGCUCGCGAUCAGCAGGAUUUCAAUUUUUGCUUCAACGCGAUAGGUAUAUGUAAAUGUGGUAGAAAUGCAGCACCUAGCCUGUACGUUUGCUUCGAGAGUACACAGACCUACACCCUUUUUUUAUGCUGUUCCAAUCUACGUUUAUUCAUUCUUUUAUGGAUACCAGCUCCCUCGUAGCGUAGGUUCGCCUUUCAUUUUGUUUCAACCACGAGCAGGACCAAAUGAAAAGCUGAAACGGUCAAAGAAGGUAUACCAUCCGAUGCAGAAAUAAAGGUAGCGCAACGCGAUGUGGCAAGAUCUAUGCCGUUAUACGAUCCAAUGUCGAGGCAUUUUUCACUCUUUAUCCUGGAAACGAGGAAAACGGAAAGAAAACACGAUCCAGAAAUCGGAAGAAGGUGUCGCAAAAAGACGGUAAACGACUACAACCGGAAAACGGAACUGAGAAAGCAAUCGGAGAUAAACGUGUAAAUUGGCCAUGGUGAUGGGAAAGAAAGGGAUGCUUGAGUCUUCGACCGUGUCAACUCUUCUCGUAUAAGAUGUUCAGCUCGAGCAGGAUCGAGGACCGGUUGAAAAGCGAACGAACGAAUAAAGGAGCGAGGAAGAGAGGAGAGGAGAGGAGAGGAAAGGGCACGUAAAAAAGGAUGUUGAAAGGAGGAGAAGAGAGGUGCCGCGUGAACGAGAAAAGAAAAAAAAGAAAAGGACGAACCGGCUCUGCUCGCCAGCUGACGGUCUCGUGCCGCAACCCAAAACUCUUUUCGAAGAUUCGGUUGCCGGUAUUUGUAUAUCACGUAUGGUACCCGCGCAACUUGGCUGCUUUUGCGCUACCUGCCGUUGCUGACCCUCGCGACUCUGGCUACUCGAUCUUUAUCGAUUCCACUCGAUCGAUUUCGCUACGCAACCUUUCGACCGUACACGCUUCCACUCGAAAUAAUCAGUCGAUCGAUCUUUGACCGUACCUAAAAGCCACAGAGACAAUAGUAUUGUUCGUAUCAUAGAAGAAAUUGCCGCGGACGAGAACGAUGUCGUUCGCAUUCGUUGUUCCUCCUCUUGCGCAAUUCUCUUCGUCCGCUCGCUCGUCUUCGUCGCAUUCCCGUUGGUAUUGAUCCGUUGAGUUUUCGAAAGUAAAAUAGGUUAUGCCGUGAAUCGCACGGAACUACAACUCCGGACAGCAACGAACGAGACGAAGCGGUGCUAUGGAACAGAAACGAUGAGAACGGAAACGAUGAGAAACGAAACGAAAAGAGCGACGAACGAACUGCAUCCACGGAUGAAUACAAAUACGUCGCUUAAACCGUGUGGAUACCGCCUAUACCAGUGUGCAAGUUUACACGAAGAAGAAACCGUGGUUACACUAAGGGGGCCGAGGAGAACGGGUGGGGACCAACUGGCGAAGCCAAAGGAAGAGACGGGGAGUUUGCAAAGUUUCGAGAUUCAAGAGCGCUGCUCUCAAUACGACAAGUUUGUGCAAACAAGAACUUACUUCGAAGGAUGGAUAAUGUCGCAGAUAAAUCAACGAAAUUUAAUAAAUCGACGUCUCUAAGA